UGAAUUACCUGGCAGGGGAGAUACCAUGAACACAUAGGUGAUUUUCCCAGGGAAAGUCUCCUCCACUGCAUUCCAGAUGGGCUGACACCUGCAGUUCUCUCAUGUGCAACAAACUUGAUUGUGUAAUUUGGUAGUGGGGGGACUGUGUUUGCACUUUCCACUA